rnacentral:rRNA from 1 species
GAUGGGGCCGGCCGCCCGCGCGGAGCAAUCCGCGGCGGGGUCGUGUCCGGUUGCCUUUCCACUCGCCGUGGGGCGGGGCCGUUCCAGCGUGCGGUGGGCCGCACUUCUCCCCUAGUAGGACGUCGCGACCCGCUGGGUGCCGGCCUACGGCCCGGGUGCGCAGCCUGUCCAUCCGCGGGCCUCGGUUCGCGCUUGUUGGGCAGAGCCCCGGUGUCCCGGCUGGCUGCUCGGCGGCAUGUCUGGAGGAGUCGAUUCGCCAAGCUUUGGGCGCCCGUGCUCCUGGCAAGCGCGCGCGGUUCUUCCCGGGUGACGGUCCUACCUGGCCCGGCCCCGGACCCGCGCCGCUGUUGGCUUGGGAUGCUCUCGGGCGGAAUAAUCGCUCCCGUCAGCGGCGCUUCAGCUUUGGACAAUUUCACGACCCGUCUUGAAACACGGACCAAGGAGUCUAACAUGUGCGCGAGUCAUUGGGCUGCACGAAACCUAGAGGCGAAAUGAAAGUGAAGGUCUCGCCUUGCGCGGGCCGAGGGAGGAUGGGGCCCUCCCGCCCUCUGUUUGGGGGGGCGGCGGCCUCCGCACUCCCGGGGCGUCUCGUCCUCAUUGCGAGGUGAGGCGCACCUAGAGCGUACACGUUGGGACCCGAAAGAUG